rnacentral:tRNA from 1 species
GCGGGUGUGGCGGAAUUGGCAGACGCGCCAGAUUUAGGUUCUGGUGGUACUCCCGUGCAGGUUCAAGUCCUGUCACCCGCACCA